UGGGGAAUUUUGCGCAAUGGGCGAAAGCCUGACGCAGCAACGCCGCGUGAUCGAUGAAGCUUUUCGGAGUGUAAAGAUCUGUCAUGAGGGAAGAACUAUCCUGAUGUAAAUAAUAUCAGGAUUUGACGGUACCUCAUAAGAAAGCACCGGCUAACUUAGUGCCAGCAGCCGCGGUAAUACUAGGGGUGCAAGCGUUGUCCGGAAUUACUGGGCGUAAAGGGUGCGUAGGCGUCUAUGUAAGUUGUUUGUUAAAUCCAUCGGCUUAACCGGUGACCUGCAAACAAAACUGCAUAGAUAGAGUUUGGAAGAGGAAAGUGGAAUUCCUGGUGUAGCGGUGACAUGCGUAGAUAUCAGGAGGAACACCGAAAGCGAAGGCAGCUUUCUGGUCCAAAACUGACGCUGAAGCACGAAAGCGUGGGGAGCAAACAGG
rnacentral:rRNA from 1 species